rnacentral:rRNA from 1 species
UACGUAGGGGGCAAGCGUUGUCCGGAAUUAUUGGGCGUAAAGAGCGUGUAGGCGGUCCGGUAAGUCAGCUGUGAAAGUCAAGGGCUCAACCCUUGAAUGCCGGUUGAUACUGUCGGGCUAGAGUCCGGAAGAGGCGAGUGGAAUUCCCGGUGUAGCGGUGAAAUGCGCAGAUAUCGGGAGGGACACCAAUGGCGAAGGCAGCUCGCUGGGAAGGUACUGACGCUGAGACGCGAAAGCGUGGGGAGCGAACGGG